GACGAACGCUGGCGGCGCGCUUAACACAUGCAAGUCGAACGAAGUGGCGAACGGGUGAGUAAUACGUGAGUAACCUGCCCUCCUUUUUGGGAUAAGCCUUGGAAACGGGGUCUAAUACCGGAUAAAGGGGGAUGGGAUCGCGGCUUAUCAGCUUGUUGGUGGGGUGAUGGCCUACCAAGGUGGGGACGGGUAGCCGGCCUGAGAGGGUGACCGGCCACAUUGGGACUGAGACACGGCCCAGACUCCUACGGGAGGCAGCAGUGGGGGAUAUUGCACAAUGGACGAAAGCCUGAUCCAGCCAUGCCGCGUGUGUGAAGAAGGUCUUCGGAUUGUAAAGCACUGUAGUUAGGGAGGCGUUACCAACAGAAUAAGCACCGGCUAACUUCGUGCCAGCAGCCGCGGUAAUAC
rnacentral:rRNA from 1 species